GGGUUGUGAGGUUAAGCGACUAAGCGUACACGGUGGAUGCCCUGGCAGUCAGAGGCGAUGAAGGACGUGCUAAUCUGCGAUAAGCGUCGGUAAGGUGAUAUGAACCGUUAUAACCGGCGAUUUCCGAAUGGGGAAACCCAGUGUGAUUCGUCACACUAUCAUUAACUGAAUCCAUAGGUUAAUGAGGCGAACCGGGGGAACUGAAACAUCUAAGUACCCCGAGGAAAAGAAAUCAACCGAGAUUCCCCCAGUAGCGGCGAGCGAACGGGGAGCAGCCCAGAGCCUGAAUCAGUGUGUGUGUUAGUGGAAGCGUCUGGAAAGGCGYGCGAUACAGGGUGACAGCCCCGUACACAAAAAUGCACAURCUGUGAGCUCGAUGAGUAGGGCGGGACACGUGGUAUCCUGUCUGAAUAUGGGGGGACCAUCCUCCAAGGCUAAAUACUCCUGACUGACCGAUAGUGAACCAGUACCGUGAGGGAAAGGCGAAAAGAACCCCGGCGAGGGGAGUGAAAAAGAACCUGAAACCGUGUACGUACAAGCAGUGGGAGCACGCUUAGGCGUGUGACUGCGUACCUUUUGUAUAAUGGGUCAGCGACUUAUAUUCUGUAGCAAGGUUAACCGAAUAGGGGAGCCGAAGGGAAACCGAGUCUUAACUGGGCGUUAAGUUGCAGGGUAUAGACCCGAAACCCGGUGAUCUAGCCAUGGGCAGGUUGAAGGUUGGGUAACACUAACUGGAGGACCGAACCGACUAAUGUUGAAAAAUUAGCGGAUGACUUGUGGCUGGGGGUGAAAGGCCAAUCAAACCGGGAGAUAGCUGGUUCUCCCCGAAAGCUAUUUAGGUAGCGCCUCGUGAAUUCAUCUCCGGGGGUAGAGCACUGUUUCGGCAAGGGGGUCAUCCCGACUUACCAACCCGAUGCAAACUGCGAAUACCGGAGAAUGUUAUCACGGGAGACACACGGCGGGUGCUAACGUCCGUCGUGAAGAGGGAAACAACCCAGACCGCCAGCUAAGGUCCCAAAGUCAUGGUUAAGUGGGAAACGAUGUGGGAAGGCCCAGACAGCCAGGAUGUUGGCUUAGAAGCAGCCAUCAUUUAAAGAAAGCGUAAUAGCUCACUGGUCGAGUCGGCCUGCGCGGAAGAUGUAACGGGGCUAAACCAUGCACCGAAGCUGCGGCAGCGACU
rnacentral:rRNA from 1 species